UACGUAGGGUGCAAGCGUUGUCCGGAAUUAUUGGGCGUAAAGAGCUCGUAGGCGGUUUGUCGCGUCUGCUGUGAAAACUCGGGGCUUAACUCCGGGCCUGCAGUGGGUACGGGCAGACUAGAGUGCGGUAGGGGAGACUGGAAUUCCUGGUGUAGCGGUGAAAUGCGCAGAUAUCAGGAGGAACACCGGUGGCGAAGGCGGGUCUCUGGGCCGUUACUGACGCUGAGGCGCGAAAGCGUGGGGAGCGAACAGG
rnacentral:rRNA from 1 species